CGGACGGGUGAGUAACGCGUGGGUAACCUGCCUCACACAGGGGGAUAACAGUUGGAAACGGCUGCUAAUACCGCAUAAGCGCACAGUACCGCAUGGUACAGUGUGAAAAACUCCGGUGGUGUGAGAUGGACCCGCGUCUGAUUAGCUAGUUGGCAGGGUAACGGCCUACCAAGGCGACGAUCAGUAGCCGACCUGAGAGGGCGACCGGCCACAUUGGGACUGAGACACGGCCCAA
rnacentral:rRNA from 1 species